UNUGCGAAUGUGCUCACGCAGACAGAAGC
rnacentral:piRNA from 1 species